GCGGACGGGUGAGUAACACGUGGAUAACCUACCUAUAAGACUGGGAUAACUUCGGGAAACCGGAGCUAAUACCGGAUAAUAUAUUGAACCGCAUGGUUCAAUAGUGAAAGACGGUUUUGCUGUCACUUAUAGAUGGAUCCGCGCCGCAUUAGCUAGUUGGUAAGGUAACGGCUUACCAAGGCAACGAUGCGUAGCCGACCUGAGAGGGUGAUCGGCCACACUGGAACUGAGACACGGUCCAGACUCCUACGGGAGGCAGCAGUAGGGAAUCUUCCGCAAUGGGCGAAAGCCUGACGGAGCAACGCCGCGUGAGUGAUGAAGGUCUUCGGAUCGUAAAACUCUGUUAUUAGGGAAGAACAAAUGUGUAAGUAACUAUGCACGUCUUGACGGUACCUAAUCAGAAAGCCACGGCUAACUACGUGCCAGCAGCCGCGGUAAUACGUAGGUGGCAAGCGUUAUCCGGAAUUAUUGGGCGUAAAGCGCGCGUAGGCGGUUUUUUAAGUCUGAUGUGAAAGCCCACGGCUCAACCGUGGAGGGUCAUUGGAAACUGGAAAACUUGAGUGCAGAAGAGGAAAGUGGAAUU
rnacentral:rRNA from 1 species